GUCAAAAGCAUAUAGCCCGGCUGAACCCCGAAUACAUUCAGUUUGCCACCAGAGCUCGACUGGGGCACAACUCCCUUUUCGGAAUAAAUUAUAAAUAAAUUUUAUGUGAAGCAACGGGAUUUUAUUGGUAUAUUAGUGAAUAAUACUGACACUUCACCAUGAUUUGGUUAUUGCUCCAACAGAAGGGAAAUUGCACAUUAAACGAUUGAAGGACACAUAGGUUUAGGAGUCCGCUCUAUGCUUUUACAGGCUGAUGGUACCGGUCCCGUUGGACGUGUGGAUUGCAUCGGCUUUUAAUCAGAAACUAUAUGUAUAUCUAUUGUAAGAGAAACAAAAAAAAAAAAAAAAAAAAAUAUAACAGAUUAAGUUCA